CAAGUCGAACGGUAACAGGAAGCAGCUUGCUGCUUCGCUGACGAGUGGCGGACGGGUGAGUAAUGUCUGGGAAACUGCCUGAUGGAGGGGGAUAACUACUGGAAACGGUGGCUAAUACCGCAUAACGUCGCAAGACCAAAGAGGGGGACCUUCGGGCCUCUUGCCAUCAGAUGUGCCCAGAUGGGAUUAGCUAGUUGGUGAGGUAACGGCUCACCAAGGCGACGAUCCCUAGCUGGUCUGAGAGGAUGACCAGCCACACUGGAACUGAGACACGGUCCAGACUCCUACGGGAGGCAGCAGUGGGGAAUAUUGCACAAUGGGCGCAAGCCUGAUGCAGCCAUGCCGCGUGUAUGAAGAAGGCCUUCGGGUUGUAAAGUACUUUCAGCGGGGAGGAAGGUGUUGUGGUUAAUAACCACAGCAAUUGACGUUACCCGCAGAAGAAGCACCGGCUAACUCCGUGCCAGCAGCCGCGGUAAUACGGAGGGUGCAAGCGUUAAUCGGAAUUACUGGGCGUAAAGCGCACGCAGGCGGUCUGUCAAGUCGGAUGUGAAAUCCCCGGGCUCAACCUGGGAACUGCAUUCGAAACUGGCAGGCUUGAGUCUUGUAGAGGGGGGUAGAAUUCCAGGUGUAGCGGUGAAAUGCGUAGAGAUCUGGAGGAAUACCGGUGGCGAAGGCGGCCCCCUGGACAAAGACUGACGCUCAGGUGCGAAAGCGUGGGGAGCAAACAGGAUUAGAUACCCUGGUAGUCCACGCCGUAAACGAUGUCUACUUGGAGGUUGUGCCCUUGAGGCGUGGCUUCCGGAGCUAACGCGUUAAGUAGACCGCCUGGGGAGUACGGCCGCAAGGUUAAAACUCAAAUGAAUUGACGGGGGCCCGCACAAGCGGUGGAGCAUGUGGUUUAAUUCGAUGCAACGCGAAGAACCUUACCUGGUCUUGACAUCCACAGAACUUUCCAGAGAUGGAUUGGUGCCUUCGGGAACUGUGAGACAGGUGCUGCAUGGCUGUCGUCAGCUCGUGUUGUGAAAUGUUGGGUUAAGUCCCGCAACGAGCGCAAC
rnacentral:rRNA from 1 species